rnacentral:rRNA from 1 species
GACGAACGCUGGCGGCGUGCUUAACACAUGCAAGUCGAACGGAAAGGCCCUGCUUUUGUGGGGUGCUCGAUUGGCGAACGGGUGAGUAACACGUGAGUAACCUGCCCUUGACUUUGGGAUAACUUCAGGAAACUGGGGCUAAUACCGGAUAGGAUCUCCUGCUGCAUGGUGGGGGUUGGAAAGUUUCGGCGGUUGGGGAUGGACUCGCGGCUUAUCAGCUUGUUGGUGGGGUAGUGGCUUACCAAGGCUUUGACGGGUAGCCGGCCUGAGAGGGUGACCGGCCACAUUGGGACUGAGAGACGGACCAGAAUCCUACGGGAGGCAGCAGUGGGGAAUAUUGCACAAUGGGCGGAAGCCUGAUGCAGCAACGCCGCGUGCGGGAUGACGGCCUUCGGGUUGUAAACCGCUUUCGCCUGUGACGAAGCGUGAGUGACGGUAAUGGGUAAAGAAGCAACGGCUAACUACGUG